CAAUCCGCUUGAGGAGGGGUUCGCGUCCCAUUAGGUAGUAGGCGGGGUAACGGCCCACCUAGCCAGCGAUGGGUAGCCGACCUGAGAGGGUGAACGGCCACACUGGAACUGAGACACGGUCCAGACUCCUACGGGAGGCAGCAGGGGGGAAUAUUGGGCAAUGGGGGGAACCCUGACCCAGCAAUGCCGCGUGAAGGAAGAAGGCCCUCGGGUUGUAAACUUCUGUGAUGGGGGACGAAGGAAGUGACGGUACCCCAUAAGAAAGCUCCGGCAAACUACGUGCCAGCAGCCGCGGUAAUACGUAGGGAGCGAGCGUUGUCCGGAAUUACUGGGCGUAAAGGGCGUGUAGGCGGCGAUGCAAGUCUCAUGUGAAAGCCCCGGGCUCAACCCGGGAAGAGCAUGGGAAACUGUGUGGCUUGAGUGAGGUAGAGGAUCGUGGAAUUCCUAGUGUAGCGGUAAAAUGCAUAGAUAUUAGGAGGAACACCGGUGGCGAAGGCGACGGUCUGGGCCUUAACUGACGCUGAGGCGCGAAAGCGUGGGUAGCAAACAGGAUUAGAUACCCUGGUAGUCCACGCCGUAAACGAUGUAUGCUAGGUGUAGGGGGUAUCGACCCCCUCUGUGCCGCAGUUAACGCAAUAAGCAUACCGCCUGGGGAGUACGGCCGCAAGGUUGAAACUCAAAGGAAUUGGCGGGUCCCCGCACAAGCAGCGGAGCAUGUUGUUUAAUUCGAAGCAACGCGAAAAACCUUACCAGGGCUUGACAUCCAACGGACCGGCGCGAAAGCGCGGGGUGCUCCUUCGGGAGAACGUUGAGACAGGUGGUGCAUGGUUGUCGUCAGCUCGUGUCGUGAGAUGUUGGGUUAAGUCCUGCAACGAGCGCAACCCCUGUUGUUAGUUGCCAGCGCGUAAAGGCGGGGACUCUAACAAGACCGCCGGAGACAAUUCGGAGGAAGGUGGGGACGACGUCAAAUCAUCAUGCUCCU
rnacentral:rRNA from 1 species